rnacentral:rRNA from 1 species
GGAAAAGCUCAAGUUUGAAAUCUGAAGUCCACUUCAGAGUUGUAAGCUGAAGAGGUGUCGACCGACUUGGUCCGGGCCCAACUUCCUUGGAACAGGAGGUCAUGGAGGGUGAGAACCCCGUCUGUGGCUCGGGUGCCGUAGUCCUUGUGUCGUGCCCUCGAAGAGUCGGGUUGUUUGGGAAUGCAGCUCAAAAUGGGUGGUAAAUUUCAUCUAAGGCUAAAUAUUGGCGAGAGACCGAUAGCAAACAAGUAGAGUGAUCGAAAGAUGAAAAGUACUUUGAAAAGAGAGUGAAACAGUACGUGAAAUUGUUGAAAGGGAAGCGUUUGGCAUCAG